rnacentral:misc_RNA from 1 species
GAUGAAGAACGCAGCGAAAUGCGAUAAGUAAUGUGAAUUGCAGAAUUCAGUGAAUCAUCGAAUCUUUGAACGCACAUUGCGCCCGCCAGUAUUCUGGCGGGCAUGCCUGUUCGAGCGUCAUUUCAACCAUCAAGCCCCAGGCUUGUGUUGGGGACCUGCGGCUGCCGCAGGCCCUGAAAACCAGUGGCGGGCUCGCUGUCACACCGAGCGUAGUAGAUUUUAUCUCGCUCAGGGCGUGCUGCGGGUUCCGGCCGUUAAAAAGCCUUUUUUACCCAAGGUUGACCUCGGAUCAGGUAGGAAGACCCGCUGAACUUAAGCAUAUCAAUAAGCGGAGGA